UAUGGAGGGCAUCGGGUCAAGCGUUCGCCAACCCGGUCAGGUUCGGAAGAAAGCAGCCGUAACGAACCAGCCUGAGGUCGGUGUUCCUCCGCCUUU
rnacentral:SRP_RNA from 1 species